rnacentral:rRNA from 1 species
AUUUUGGGCAAUGGGCGAAAGCCUGACCCAGCAACGCCGCGUGGGUGACGAAGGCCUUCGGGUUGUAAAGCCCUUUUCUGAGGGAAGAUAGUGACGGUACCUCAGGAAUAAGCACCGGCUAACUACGUGCCAGCAGCCGCGGUAAUACGUAGGGUGCAAGCGUUGCCCGGAUUUAUUGGGCGUAAAGGGCGUGUAGGCGGCCCAGCAAGUCAUGUGUGAAAUCUCCCGGCUCAACUGGGAGCGGUCGCGUGAUACUGCUAGGCUUGAGCAAGGUAGGGGAAAGUGGAAUUCCCGGUGUAGUGGUGGAAUGCGUAGAUAUCGGGAGGAACACCAGUGGCGAAGGCGGCUUUCUGGACCUUUGCUGACGCUAAUGCGCGAAAGCGUGGGGAGCGAUCCGG